UCAUUACCUGCCUUGUGCCCCUGACUCACCUGUGCCCUAUCAAAUGCUUAUGAGCAUCCUCAGUGUCCUCCAAGUCUUCUCAUGCACUUGCAAGGAGCCUGUGUCCAGCAGGGCUUCAAAGGAGACUGUAAGAAACAGAGAACAAAGACAGAUGAGAGUCUCCUUGGAAGCUGAGGAAACUGGAAUGUCUUGGGUUUGGCAUAUGACACCAAAAAUCUGCAAACUUUAAAGGCUCUAUUGAGAAUCCAUGGGCUUCCAUGGUCAGGACAAGAAGCUGAUGGUUCUAAGGUUUGUCUUUCCCUCAUACUGGAGCUAAGAUUGGGGCAAUUCUAA
rnacentral:lncRNA from 1 species